UACAGAGGUCCCAAGCGUUGUUCGGAUUCACUGGGCGUAAAGGGCUCGUAGGCGGUUUGUCGCGUCGGGAGUGAAAUCCACUGGCUUAACUGGUGGCUUGCUUUCGAUACGGGCAGACUGGAGGUAUGCAGGGGAGAACGGAAUUCCUGGUGUAGCGGUGAAAUGCGCAGAUAUCAGGAGGAACACCGGUGGCGAAGGCGGGUCUCUGGGCAACAACUGACGCUGAGGAGCGAAAGCGUGGGGAGCGAACAGG
rnacentral:rRNA from 1 species